UACGUAGGGGCCUAGCGUUGUCCGGAAUUAUUGGGCGUAAAGAGCUCGUAGGCGGUUCGGCAAGUCGGAUGUGAAAUCGUCCACGCUUAACGUGGAGGGCCAUUCGAAACUGCUGUGACUCGAGUCCGGUAGGGGAGUGUGGAAUUCCCGGUGUAGCGGUGAAAUGCGCAGAUAUCGGGAGGAACACCAGAGCGAAGGCGGCACUCUGGGCCG
rnacentral:rRNA from 1 species